UUUUUAUCCUGAGCUAGUGAGACAUAAAAUUGCUAAAUAGCCACUCCUUUAAGAGGCCAUCCCACCUAGCUGUUUAUGAACCGGUCAUUUCAACCAUCCUUCACAAACAACGCCCUAAAUCCAUCCUACCGUCCUUAACACCUUAAAUAAAUCCCCCGUCCAUCUGAGAUGACAAGAUAAAUACCAUCUACCUUCCCCCCUGACAGAGAAACCUGCCCACCCCAGGGGAGCCAGCAUUCACUUCCCUAAACAGGAGAUAAGGAUAAGUGAUGGACAAACAUAGCCUCUCUCUGCUGGUACUGGGCCAAAGCAGAAGGAAAUAUACCCUAAAACAAGUACAAAAAAUACUGAUUCCUCCAGCGUCGCUACAAUGCGAGCAGAAAGAUUUUCCAGCUAUCUAACAUCAGCGGCAAUCAGCGGAGUGUCAGCCCGUCAAAAUGACAGAGCAACAUCUUUUCUUUAGGCUAGAUCAUCUACGUUUCACAGACAGCAAUCAUAUGUGGAGAAAUCCAUUGUCAAAGAGGCGGAGAGACUCAUUUCUCUACGCACAAACAGGAAAGUAGACCAGAAUGCAGCAGAUGUGAUUUGUUUUGAACGAAGGCAACUCUUGCUUCGGCUCAUCUGGAAAGAGCGAGAAAAGAAGCUUUCACAAACUUAAGUAAAAUCAUUCUUGUAAUAGAUCAUUGCAGAUUGAUGAUUUUUGUAAGAGCAUAAGAAGAUACAGU